rnacentral:misc_RNA from 1 species
GAUGAAGAACGCAGCGAAAUGCGAUAAGUAGUGUGAAUUGCAGAAUUCAGUGAAUCACCGAAUCUUUGAACGCACAUUGCGCCCCUUGGUAUUCCAUGGGGCAUGCCUGUUCGAGCGUCAUCUACACCCUCAAGCUCUGCUUGGUGUUGGGCGUCUGUCCCGCCUGCGGGCGUUGGACUCGCCCCGAAUGCAUUGGCAGCGUCCCUUGCCCCCUCUCGCGCAGCACAUUGCGCUUCUCGAGGGCGGCUCCGGGGCGCGACCCACCGAAGAUGACCACCGUCUUUGACCUCGGAUCAGGUAGGGAUACCCGCUGAACUUAAGCAUAUCAAUAAGCGGAGGA